GCGGCCUACAAUGCAGUCGAGCGGUACAGGGGUAGCUUGCUACCCGCUGACGAGCGGCGGACGGGUGAGUAAUGCAUAGGAAUCUGCCCGAUAGUGGGGGAUAACCUGGGGAAACCCAGGCUAAUACCGCAUACGUCCUACGGGAGAAAGGGGGCUCCGGCUCCCGCUAUUGGAUGAGCCUAUGUCGGAUUAGCUAGUUGGUGAGGUAAAGGCUCACCAAGGCGACGAUCCGUAGCUGGUCUGAGAGGAUGAUCAGCCACAUCGGGACUGAGACACGGCCCGAACUCCUACGGGAGGCAGCAGUGGGGAAUAUUGGACAAUGGGCGAAAGCCUGAUCCAGCCAUGCCGCGUGUGUGAAGAAGGCCCUCGGGUUGUAAAGCACUUUCAGCGAGGAAGAACGCCUAGUGGUUAAUACCCAUUAGGAAAGACAUCACUCGCCCACCAAGCACCGGCUAACUCCGUGCCAGCAGCCGCGGUAAUACGGAGGGUGCAAGCGUUAAUCGGAAUUACUGGGCGUAAAGCGCGCGUAGGUGGCUUGAUAAGCCGGUUGUGAAAGCCCCGGGCUCAACCUGGGAACGGCAUCCGGAACUGUCAAGCUAGAGUGCAGGAGAGGAAGGUAGAAUUCCCGGUGUAGCGGUGAAAUGCGUAGAGAUCGGGAGGAAUACCAGUGGCGAAGGCGGCCUUCUGGACUGACACUGACACUGAGGUGCGAAAGCGUGGGUAGCAAACAGGAUUAGAUACCCUG
rnacentral:rRNA from 1 species